rnacentral:misc_RNA from 1 species
CCUGCAAGGACGCAGUGGGGAAUUUUGGACAAUGGGAAACCUGAUCCAGCCAUCCCGCGUGUGCGAUGAAGGCCUUCGAGGUUGUAAAGCACUUUUGGCAGGGCAGAAAACGGCACGGGACCGCUGCAAUGCAGCGACAAUACCUGCAUGAAUAAGCACCGGCUAACUACGUGCCUUAGCCCGCUGAUAAUACGUAAGUGCAAGCGUUAAUCGGAAUUACUGGGCGUAAAGCGUGCGCAGGCGGUUCGGAAAGAAGAUGUGAAAUCCCAGAGCUUAACUUUGGAACUGCAUUUUUAACUGCGAGCUAGAGUGUGUCAGAGGGAGGUGGAAUUCCGCGUGUAGCAGUGAAAUGCGUAGAUAUGCGGAGGAACACCGAUGGCGAAGAGCAGCCUCUGGGAUAACACUGACGCUCAUGCGCAGCGUGGGGAGCAAGCAGGAUUAGAUACCCUGGUAGU